rnacentral:rRNA from 1 species
UUGGAGGGCAAGUCUGGUGCCAGCAGCCGCGGUAAUUCCAGCUCCAAUAGCGUAUAUUAAAGUUGUUGCAGUUAAAAAGCUCGUAGUUGAAUUUCGGGAUUGACACAUCGGUCGUGCCUUAAGGGGUGUGAACUGGUGUAGUCAAUUUCUCACCUUCUGGAGAACCGCGAUGUCCUUAAUUGGGUGCCGCGAGGAACCAGGACCUUUACUUUGAAAAAAUUAGAGUGUUUAAAGCAGGCAUUUUUGCUUGAAUACAUUAGCAUGGAAUAAUAAAAUAGGACGGCAUGAUUCUAUUUUGUUGGUUUCUAGGAUCACCGUAAUGAUUAAUAGGGAUAGUUGGGGGCAUUAGUAUUCAAUUGUCAGAGGUGAAAUUCUUGGAUUUAUUGAAGACUAACUACUGCGAAAGCAUUUGCCAAGGAUGUUUUCAUUAAUCAAGAACGAAAGUUAGGGGAUCGAAGACGAUCAGAUACCGUCGUAGUCUUAACCAUAAACUAUGCCGACUAGGAAUCAGACGAUGUUAAUUUUUUAAUGACUCGUUCGGCGCCUUACGGGAAAC